rnacentral:rRNA from 1 species
AUUGAACGCUGGCGGAAUGCUUUACACAUGCAAGUCGAGCGGCAGCGCGGGGCAACCUGGCGGCGAGCGGCGAACGGGUGAGUAAUACAUCGGAACAUGUCCAUGUCGUGGGGGAUANCCCGGCGAAAGCCGGAUUAAUACCGCAUAAGCCCGAGAGGGGAAAGACCGGGGACCGCAAGGCCUGGCGCGAUUGGGUUGGCCGAUGUCCGAUUAGCUAGUUGGCGGGGUAAGAGCCCACCAAGGCGAUGAUCGGUAGCUGGUCUGAGAGGAUGAUCAGCCACACUGGGACUGAGACACGGCCCAGACUCCGUACGGGAGGCAGCAGUGGGGAAUUUUGGACAAUGGGGGAAACCCUGNUCCAGCCAUUCCGCGUGAGUGAAGAA